rnacentral:tRNA from 1 species
GGAAGGGGAACGCAUUCCGGUGUUGCGCGCGGGCUUCAAACCCGUUGAGGGGCGUUAGACGUGCUUGGUGGGUUCGACUCCCACUCUCUUCCGCCA